rnacentral:lncRNA from 10 species
GUGCUGGGAUUACAGGCGUGAGCCACUGCGCCCGGCCGAGAUACUUUUUUUUCCCUACAAAUACUGUAAUACUAGAAGUCACAUUUCAGGUACCAAAUUUAGCAAAUGUGAUGUGUGAUACAUCUAAUGCUAAUGACAUUCAUUGUUGGAAGAUGAAGUCUUUUGAAAAACAAGUUGCAGCAGCAAGCUGACAGUAUUAGAUAUUUGAGUACUUGAGGUAAGAUGGCCUUACAUUUGUUAGUGGGCAGCAUACAACAUACAUACAUGGCCUGUGUUUGAUUUACAUAGUGGAACUCCACCGAGUGGUCAGCAGGAAAUAUCUCUCCAUAGCUUAAGAACUGUUGUAACACAUCUACCACACAAAAUGCCUCCAGUGUAUCUUUGUAUCUUUUUGUUUGUUUGUUUUUGGGUCAGAGUCUCGCUCUGUUGCCCAGGCUGGAGUGCAUGGCACUAUCUCGCUUCACUGCCACGUCUGCCUCCCAGUUUCAAGUGAUUCUUCCUGCUUCAGCCUUAUGAGUAGCUGGAUUACAGGUGCCUGGCACCGUGCCCAGCUAUUUUUUGUAUUUUUAGUAGAGACAGGGUUUCUCCAUGUUGGCCAGGCUGGUCUCAAAACUUCUGACCUCAGUUGAUCUGCCCGCCUUGGCCUCCCAAAGUGCUGGGAUUACAGGCAUGAGCCACUGUGCCCGGCCUCUUUGUAUCUUAAUAGUACAGUAUACUUGAUAUGUGACAUGUAUGACAUUUGCAGUAUACAAUAUGUUAUUGAGAAAUGCAGAGUACAGAAAACUAUAUGGCUUGCUGCCUUUUGUUUGAGAAUUGAGGGGAAGAAAUAAUACGUAUGUACAUAGAUAUUUUGUAUAUAUAUUUAUCUAUUAUAUAUGUUUAUAUAUUUUUUUAAUUUUUAAAUUUUUUGUAGAGAUGGGGCUC